UACGGGGGGGGCAAGCGUUGUUCGGAAUUACUGGGCGUAAAGGGCUCGUAGGCGGCCAACUAAGUCAGACGUGAAAUCCCUCGGCUUAACCGGGGAACUGCGUCUGAUACUGGAUGGCUUGAGUUUGGGAGAGGGAUGCGGAAUUCCAGGUGUAGCGGUGAAAUGCGUAGAUAUCGGAAGGAACAUCAGUGGCGAAAGCGGCUUCCUGGACCGACACUGACGCUGAGGCGCGAAAGCCAGGGGAGCAAACGGG
rnacentral:rRNA from 1 species